rnacentral:rRNA from 1 species
AUGACGGCAACAGAUUCCUCGCUCUCUUCGUGUUUUUCAGGGAUUUUCUAUGUUGGAAGCACCGUCAUGGGCCGGCCCGUGAACGAUCGAUGGGUGUGCAAGAGGUUGACACUUUGCCGCAGAAUGCGACGAAUAGGGUUUUUCCCUGGUUGUAGCGUUGCACUGUUAGCCACUUGUCCACCAUCGGGUUCGUGUUUAAUUAAAGGUCAUGACAUUGUUAAAGAAAAAGCGUUGGGUUUUCACUGGUUUUUUGGCUUUUUUUCUUUUUCUUUUUUCACCGUUUUUCUACGUUUAUUUUCUCUAUUUUACUGGUUUUUUAUUUUCUAUGGUUUUCUUUGUUUCUUUUUUUGUUUUUCACUAGCUUCUUUCUCUUCUUCAUUUUCUCUGCUUUUUUUCUUUUUCUCAUUUUUCAUUGGUUUUCUUUUGUUUUUCUAUACACAUUUUCGGUAUAUAUCUUAUGCAUUUUUGUAA